UACGUAGGGUGCAAGCGUUGUCCGGAAUUAUUGGGCGUAAAGAGCUCGUAGGCGGUUCGUCGCGUCGGCUGUGAAAACCCGGAGCUCAACUCCGGGCCUGCAGUCGAUACGGGCGGACUGGAGUGUUGCAGGGGAGACUGGAAUUCCUGGUGUAGCGGUGAAAUGCGCAGAUAUCAGGAAGAACACCAAUGGCGAAAGCAGCUCUCUGGGACGGUACUGACGCUGAGACGCGAAAGCGUGGGGAGCGAACAGG
rnacentral:rRNA from 1 species